ACACGCAUGUAGCGAAUAGAUAGAUAUUGUUUAAUACUAGUUUUUUAAGCAGUUUUAUUCGAUUGAAUGAAAAAUGAUCAAAGGCCCGUUCUGUUUCACGUUGUAUUAGGUUUUUGACCAUUCUUCUAAAAAUAGAACCGAAGAGUUCCGAAUGAAUGUAAACAAAACAUUCAAUUAUUCCCAUGGAUUAUUUAUAUUUGAAAAAUGUGUUAAAUAUUGUCAUUAUUGCACCUUUUUUUCGUGUAUGCUUUUCUGAAAUAGUGAAACCUAAAUGUUACUGGUACAUUGGUGGCGAUUAUAAAGACAAUAUAGAUCUUAAAUCUGUAUUGAAAGACAACAGUAAUCAAACUUUUAUUACUUACGACAAAAAUAAUUCAACACGAUUUUAUUACAACCCAUGCUACAUGCUCAACAAUGUGAAUCCAUUUUGUAAUACAAGUGCGUUGUGCAAGGAAGACUUACUGAAUUCUAAAUUCGAAAAUAUCGGUGAUUUUUCUGAUGUAAGAGUAGAAAUAUUAAGUAAUGGUGACUACUACAGGAUCGAUUAUAAUGUGUUACAGACAUCAGUGAAAAAAGAUAGUACAAUAACUUUGAAAUGUAUGGACACUAAUAAACCACAAUUUCAAUAUAGAAGAUCUGAACUACAAGACAAAUACCUCUUUUCCAUGGCAUCAAAACGAUUCUGCAGAAGUAAAUUCAGCAUUGGUACUAUAAUAUGUGUUUCUUUUUUAUCCAUUGUACUCGUGUAUCUAGUCGUAGGUAUUCUAUACAAGAAAGCUGUAUUAGGAGUCUCUGGUGUACAGCUUAUACCAAAUGUCACAUUUUGGAAAACUUUGCCGGGUUUAAUAAAAGACGGGUACUUGUUCUUUAUAAGCCCAUGUAUUGGUAAUAGAAUCGAAUAUGAUGCUUAUGAGCGCAUUUAGAAUUAGGCAUAUGUUAGUUGUCACACUGUUAAAAUAUAAUGGUAAAUGACGGCAUUGAACAUUUGAAAUCCAGUGUGCAAUAUUAUAUAAUAAAUAAGAAGAUUACUUAUGGUUAAUCUACCUAACUAUAUAAUUACUGAAAUGAUUCUUUAUUUUAAAGUAUAAUGUGACAUUUAAUGAUAAUUACAAUCCUUAUAACAUAUUUUAUAAAUCCACUAUAUGUGUUCGAUCAGAAAUGAUGAAUCGUUAUGGUGAUUGAAAUUAGUUUAACAUGGACGAGACAGCAAAACUUUACAUUUGUAAAUAUACAAAUGGAUUUAAUAUAUUUACCAGCGGGUACCUGGUAUUAAAAAAAACUGUUUAAAUUUGGGACAUGUAUAUGUCUUUCGUGUUCGAUUAAAUAUAAUUAUUAUUGUAUGGAAUUUUUAUUGUCAAUUUGUACAUUGAUAUACUAUUUUAGAAGACUCUUUAUUAUAUUAUUUUAUCAUAUUUGGAAUGUGCUUAUUUAUUUUCAUGCUUUCAACUCUUUUUAUUUAUGAAAAAUUAAAACGCAGCAUUUAUUAUAACAACCUUUAUUUGUUAAUGUUAUUAUAAUUUUAUGAUUUUUUCGUCAAAUAAACUUAUGUCUUUGUACAAUGUUGUUGCUGUCAUUAUUGGCAAUAUGAUAGUAUUUCCCUAUUGCCCUAUGUAAGCUUUUGUAGUAGACCACUUUCACUGAUAUUUUGAGGCAAUGGUUAGAUUAGCAGAUUAGAAUGGUUUCCUUUAAUUUACUAGCAGUCCACAAAUUGAAAUUCUUUCGUCUAAUGUCAUUUUCAUCUUAAUUUUAUUUUUUUUAUAAUCAUUUCAACGGAAAUAACAGUUUUGCAUAAAGCAUUUGUAGUGAUAUAAUUUCAAAUCACAUUGCACUUCAAACUAUUUUGUUAAUGAUAUACAUUUUAACCAUCUUGAAUAUAUCGUAAAUCCCAUAUUCAUUGCAUAUUUAUUUAUGUAAACAAAACAUUGGUAAACCAUAGUUUUUGUAACAAAAUAAAAUACAGAAAAAUAAA